ensembl:lncRNA
AGCAGCAACAGCUCCCCCCAGAAAUGGGGCUACCCCUGCUUUCCCCCAGGAAUCUCCCGUGGGGCAGGGCCCUGGCUGCGACCACGUUCUGCUUUGGGGUUGGGGCAAGAUGCUGCCCUCCUAGAUGGGGGCUGGAGCGCAAGAAGGUCCCUUGUGGCUGUCAGAUGCAGUGGCCAAGAUGCAGUCUGUGGUUGUGGAGUCCUGAACCAGAGGUUAAGCUGUGCUGGGAAGAAGCACAGUGGCUGUGCCCAGAGUUUUAUAGCAGAAGGAGACGGAAAAACUCAGCCUUGGUGAUCAUUUUGCCAACUCUACAUUGUAGUAACACACUGUGGUGGCUGGAGUCUCCCAUUUUAUGAGUUCUUCCCAGAGCGGAUGGCAGCCCUUGCCCAAAGACUUGGUAUCAUGUAAGGUCAGUUACACCAGGUGGCACCAGCCGGUGUAGCAGACCUUGUGCUCACUGGUUUCAUCGCUGCCAUAGCAAAGGAGACUUUGUAAGGGAUUUGGAGGAGGGCUGGAAGGUGGAUGCUCAUAGCAAACGUGAGAAAAACUCCAGUUGCAACAUCCAAAAGAAAGACCAGCGCUACUGAGAUGCUGGGUGACAAGAUGCAGGCUGUACAUGGGUAGGAAAUAUUUGGCUUGGAGAUGUGAAAUGGGAUGCUGAGUGCUGGUUUGAUUUGCACGCUCAGCCCAGCGCCGG